ensembl:lncRNA
CCUUCUCUUCCCUUCCCUUCCCCAUCCUUUCUUUCCCUUCUCUCUCUCUCCACACUUCUUCAUGAGUUCAUCUAAUAUUGUGUAAUGAAAAGAGCUUGGGUUUUGGAUUUUAAAAAGACGUUGGUUCAAAUCCCAGCUUAAACAUUUAAUACCUUUUUCAACCUUGGACUAGUUCCUUAACCUUUCUGAGCCUGCUUCUUCAUUUAUAAAAUAUAAUAGCACCUUUGUAACAUUGUAAUAGCUGUGUGCCCAUUACAAAGUAUACAGUUGGCAAAUAUUAGCCUCUUUCCUCUUCCAUGACUUCAACUACUACCAGUAUCUCUAGCCCAGACUAUCUCCUGAGCUUCAGAUCCUUAUUUCUAACUUCCUAUUGGCUAAUACCUCUUGAGUCUUAUACAUACAACACAUGUUAACGGAGACCAAAUUAUAUUUGAUUGGCCGCUAUGGGCCAGGCACCCUGCUGCGUGCUAGAGAUAAAAUGAUAAAUAAAAAGGCAGUCUCCCUUUGGAGGAACAUAAAGUCUGUGCAGUGGUAGAGUUAUACACGGGAUGCUAUAGGAAUUUGGAGGAACAGGUCUUAACUCAGCCUAAGAGGAAUUAGGGAAAGUUUUCUGGAAAUGUCAUAAGUUAAGCCUUACAGAAUGAGUAGGUAUUAACCAGAAUCAGCAAGAGUGAGAAAGGAAUUCCACAGAGGAAACAGCCUGAACAAAGGCAUGGAGCAAUGAAAUAGCAGUUCUGAAUUCCUAGAGAAUUUAGAGGGAGGCAGGCAACAUUGGGAGGUGAGGCUAGACAGGUAGACAGGAGGAAAGACAUGAAAAGUGAUAGAUCCAUGCUUAGGAACUUGGCUUUUAUCCUGUAUUUGCUAGGAAGCCACUAAAAGGAGAAAAUGGCAUGAUUAGCUUCUCAAAGAUUAUGAAUAGGAAUUUCUUAGCGGAAACACAAGUAAUGAAUAAAUGAAAGAUACUCGACCUUAUUAGGAAUCAGAAAAGCACAAAUUAAGGUAAUAGAGAAAUGGUCUUUUGUAUCCACCAGAUUGGCAGAAAGUGUGAAGUUUUGGUAAUCCUCUAAUUUUUUUAAAACUAUUAUAUCAUGAAGUCUUUAUUAGGCAUUUGCUAGUUAUUUCAAUAACUCCUCCAAUGCCAUAGUUUCCAGACAUCAUCUUAGAAACUACAGGUGUGUUUAUGUAUUCCAGUUUGUCAGCUCCAGUACUGUGGGUAUUAUCUGGCUGUUGCAAAACAGACCAAAGGAAAGUCCUGGCAUUCAUGGAUUAAAUAUCAGUUUCAACUACCCUCAAGCAGCUAAAAUAAUCGAAGCCGUCAUGUGAGCAUAACAGUGAGAUGCUGGCCCCCUACCAGCCAAGAGAAGAAGCCUCAGAAUGAAACCUACUUUGCCAGCACCCUGAUUUUGGUCUUCCCAGCCUCCAGGACUUCGAGAAAUAAAUGUCUGUUGUUGAAGCCACCCAGUCAGUGGUAUUUUGUUAUGGCAGCCUGAGCGGACUAAGAUACCUCUAAUAGGGGAAUUGUUUAGGGGGUCACAAUCAAAAGUGAUUUUGAAGCCAUGGAGUGAUAAAACUGGAUUGAAAAAUGAAA